rnacentral:rRNA from 1 species
UACAGAGGGGGCAAGCGUUGUUCGGAAUUACUGGGCGUAAAGCGUGCGCAGGCGGUUCGGAAAGAGAGGUGUGAAAUCCCAGGGCUUAACCUUGGAACUGCACUUUUAACUACCGGGCUAGAGUACGUCAGAGGGGGGUAGAAUUCCACGUGUAGCAGUGAAAUGCGUAGAGAUGUGGAGGAAUACCGAUGGCGAAGGCAGCCCCCUGGGAUGAUACUGACGCUCAUGCACGAAAGCGUGGGGAGCAAACAGG